GACGCUGAGGAACGAAAGCAUGGGUAGCGAAGAGGGAUUAGAUACCCUCGUAGUCCAUGCCGUAAACGAUGUGUGUUAGACGUUGGAAAUUUAUUUUCAGUGUCGCAGCGAAAGCGUUAAACACACCGCCUGGGGAGUACGACCGCAAGGUUAAAACUCAAAUGAAUUGACGGGGACCCGCACAAGUAGUGGAGCAUGUGGUUUAAUUCGAAGAUACGCGCAGAACCUUACCAACACUUGACAUGUUCGUCGCGACUUUAAGAGAUUAAAGUUUUCGGUUCGGCCGGACGAAACACAGGUGCUGCAUGGCUGUCGUCAGCUCGUGUCGUGAGAUGUUGGGUUAAGUCCCGCAACGAGCGCAACCCUCACUUUUAGUUGCCAUCAUUAAGUUGGGCACUCUGAAAGAACUGCCAGUGAUAAGCUGGAGGAAGGUGGGGAUGACGUCAAGUCCUCAUGGCCCUUACGUGUUGGGCUACACACGUGCUACAAUGGCAUUUACAAUAGGAAGCAAGAUGGCGACGUCAAGCAAAUCCUAAAAAGAUGCCUCAGUUCGGAUUGUACUCUGCAACUCGAGUACAUGAAGCUGGAAUUACUAGUAAUCGCGGAUCAGCGCGCCGCGGUGAAUACGUUCCCGGGUCUUGUACACACCGCCCGUCACACCAUGGGAGUUGGUUCUACCUUAAGGCAAGGUUUAAAACCCUUGACCACGGUAUAGUCAGCGACUGGGGUGAAGUCGUAACAAGGUAGCCGUA
rnacentral:rRNA from 1 species